rnacentral:tRNA from 1 species
GCCCGGGUGGCGAAACUGGUAGACGCAUCGGACUUAAAAUCCGCCGGGGGCGACCCCAUGCCGGUUCGAUUCCGGCCCCGGGCA